GGUUAAGCGACUAAGCGUACACGGUGGAUGCCCUGGCAGUCAGAGGCGAUGAAGGACGUGCUAAUCUGCGAUAAGCGUCGGUGAGGUGAUAUGAACCGUUAUAACCGGCGAUUUCCGAAUGGGGAAACCCAGUGUGUUUCGACACACUAUCAUUAACUGAAUCCAUAGGUUAAUGAGGCGAACCGGGGGAACUGAAACAUCUAAGUACCCCGAGGAAAAGAAAUCAACCGAGAUUCCCCCAGUAGCGGCGAGCGAACGGGGAGGAGCCCAGAGCCUGAAUCAGUGUGUGUGUUAGUGGAAGCGUCUGGAAAGGCGUGCGAUACAGGGUGACAGCCCCGUACACAAAAAUGCACAUAUUGUGAGCUCGAUGAGUAGGGCGGGACACGUGGUAUCCUGUCUGAAUAUGGGGGGACCAUCCUCCAAGGCUAAAUACUCCUGACUGACCGAUAGUGAACCAGUACCGUGAGGGAAAGGCGAAAAGAACCCCGGCGAGGGGAGUGAAAAAGAACCUGAAACCGUGUACGUACAAGCAGUGGGAGCCUCUUAAUGGGGUGACUGCGUACCUUUUGUAUAAUGGGUCAGCGACUUAUAUUCUGUAGCAAGGUUAACCGAAUAGGGGAGCCGAAGGGAAACCGAGUCUUAACUGGGCGUUAAGUUGCAGGGUAUAGACCCGAAACCCGGUGAUCUAGCCAUGGGCAGGUUGAAGGUUGGGUAACACUAACUGGAGGACCGAACCGACUAAUGUUGAAAAAUUAGCGGAUGACUUGUGGCUGGGGGUGAAAGGCCAAUCAAACCGGGAGAUAGCUGGUUCUCCCCGAAAGCUAUUUAGGUAGCGCCUCGUGAAUUCAUCUCCGGGGGUAGAGCACUGUUUCGGCAAGGGGGUCAUCCCGACUUACCAACCCGAUGCAAACUGCGAAUACCGGAGAAUGUUAUCACGGGAGACACACGGCGGGUGCUAACGUCCGUCGUGAAGAGGGAAACAACCCAGACCGCCAGCUAAGGUCCCAAAGUCAUGGUUAAGUGGGAAACGAUGUGGGAAGGCCCAGACAGCCAGGAUGUUGGCUUAGAAGCAGCCAUCAUUUAAAGAAAGCGUAAUAGCUCACUGGUCGAGUCGGCCUGCGCGGAAGAUGUAACGGGGCUAAACCAUGCACCGAAGCUGCGGCAGCGACACUAUGUGUUGUUGGGUAGGGGAGCGUUCUGUAAGCCUGUGAAGGUGGCCUGUGAGGGUUGCUGGAGGUAUCAGAAGUGCGAAUGCUGACAUAAGUAACGAUAAAGCGGGUGAAAAGCCCGCUCGCCGGAAGACCAAGGGUUCCUGUCCAACGUUAAUCGGGGCAGGGUGAGUCGACCCCUAAGGCGAGGCCGAAAGGCGUAGUCGAUGGGAAACAGGUUAAUAUUCCUGUACUUGGUGUUACUGCGAAGGGGGGA
rnacentral:rRNA from 1 species